AGCAGCCGCGGUAAUUCCAGCUCCAAUAGCGUAUAUUAAAGUUGUUGCAGUUAAAAAGACUCGUAGUUGAAUUUCGGAAUUUGUCGGUUGGUCGGGCUUCACUGUCCGCACUGACCUGAUGGAUUCCUACCUUCUGAAUAACCAGCAUGCUAUUAAGUUAGUGCGUUGGGGAAGCAGAGCUAUUACCUUAGAAAAAUUAGAGUAGCUUAAAGGCAGGUCUUGUGCUUGAAUAGAUUAGCAUGGAAUAAUAAAAUAGGACGGCAUGGUUCUAUUUUGUUGGUUUCUAGGAUCACCGUAAUGAUUAAUAGGGAUAGUUGGGGGCAUUAGUAUUCAAUUGUCAGAGGUGAAAUUCUUGGAUUUAUUGAAGACUAAACUUCUGCGGAAGCAUUUGCCAAGGAUGUUUUCAUUAAUCAAGAACGAAAGUUAGGGGAUCGAAGACGAUCAGAUACCGUCGUAGUCUAACCAUAAACUAUGCCGACUAGGGAUCGGACGAUGUUAAUUUUUAAUGACUCAUUACC
rnacentral:rRNA from 1 species